CAAAAAGAAUCGAGCGGACAGAAGGGAGCUUGCUCCCGGAUGUUAGCGGCGGACGGGUGAGUAACACGUGGGUAACCUGCCUGUAAGACUGGGAUAACUCCGGGAAACCGGAGCUAAUACCGGAUAGUUCCUUGAACCGCAUGGUUCAAGGAUGAAAGACGGUUUCGGCUGUCACUUACAGAUGGACCCGCGGCGCAUUAGCUAGUUGGUGAGGUAACGGCUCACCAAGGCGACGAUGCGUAGCCGACCUGAGAGGGUGAUCGGCCACACUGGGACUGAGACACGGCCCAGACUCCUACGGGAGGCAGCAGUAGGGAAUCUUCCGCAAUGGACGAAAGUCUGACGGAGCAACGCCGCGUGAGUGAUGAAGGUUUUCGGAUCGUAAAGCUCUGUUGUUAGGGAAGAACAAGUGCAAGAGUAACUGCUUGCACCUUGACGGUACCUAACCAGAAAGCCACGGCUAACUACGUGCCAGCAGCCGCGGUAAUACGUAGGUGGCAAGCGUUGUCCGGAAUUAUUGGGCGUAAAGGGCUCGCAGGCGGUUUCUUAAGUCUGAUGUGAAAGCCCCCGGCUCAACCGGGGAGGGUCAUUGGAAACUGGGAAACUUGAGUGCAGAAGAGGAGAGUGGAAUUCCACGUGUAGCGGUGAAAUGCGUAUAGAUGUGGAGGAACACCAGUGGCGAAAGCGACUCUCUGGUCUGUGACUGACGCUGAGGAGCGAAAGCGGGGGGAGCGAACAGGAUUACACACCCUGGUCGUCCACCCCGUAUACCAUGAUUGCAACGCGCUCGGGGGUUCUCGCCCCUCAUUGUUUCAAUUAUUUUUUCAUGUCUCACGACGCGGGGGGGGGGGGGG
rnacentral:rRNA from 1 species